rnacentral:rRNA from 1 species
UACGUGAGCCCCGAGCGUUAUCCGGAAUUACUGGGCGUAAAGAGUGCGUAGGCGGUUGUGUUAGUCUUCUGUUUAAUCCUUCGGCUCAACCGAAGAACCGCAGAGGAAACGGCACAACUGGAGCGUGUGAGAGGUGAGUGGAACUCAUGGUGUAGGGGUGAAAUCCGUUGAUAUCAUGGGGAACACCAAAUGCGAAGGCAGCUCACUGGCACAUUGCUGACGCUGAGGCACGAAAGCGUGGGGUAGCGAAUGGG